AUGGCUCAGGAUGAACGCUAGCUACAGGCUUAACACAUGCAAGUCGAGGGGCAGCAUGUGGUUGCUGCAACCAAUGAUGGCGACCGGCGCACGGGUGAGUAACGCGUAUCCAACCUUCCCUAUAGUAGAGGAUAGCCCGGCGAAAGUCGGAUUAAUACUCUAUGUUUUCCAAUGCAGACAUCUAAAAUGGAACAAAGGUUUACCGCUAUAGGAUGGGGGAUGCGUCUGAUUAGAUGGUAGGCGGGGUAAUGGCCCACCUAGUCGACGAUCAGUAGGGGUUCUGAGAGGAAGGUCCCCCACAUUGGAACUGAGACACGGUCCAAACUCCUACGGGAGGCAGCAGUGAGGAAUAUUGGUCAAUGGGCGAGAGCCUGAACCAGCCAAGUAGCCGUGCAGGAUGACGGCCCUAUGGGUUGUAAACUGCUUUUAUACAGGGAUAAAGUGACGUACGUGUACGUUAUUGUAGGUACUGUAUGAAUAAGGACCGGCUAAUUCCGUGCCAGCCGCCGC
rnacentral:rRNA from 1 species